UAAUAUCUAGCAGAUAGCAGUCGGAUUUUAUUUUUUAUUUUUCGGGUGUCAGAAUGACAUGAAACUUUAAAUUUAGGUUCAUAAAAAUAAUUCUGAUAUAUUUUCCAGUUUUCAUAAUUUUCUGACACUGCAUUUUCUGCUAAAAUAUCAGCCCCGUCUCUCACAGAAAAUUCUAAAUCUUCUGUUUUCAUUCCGAUUUCAGCACAGGUCAUUUCAGACUUACAUUUUACUUUUAUCAGUCCAAUAAAAAAUAGUAUCUCAUACUAUUUUUAUUUAUUUUUUACUUUUAUAUCAAAAUCCGGUAUGUUACACUCAGCCUAUAUAUAUGCGUAGAGAGCUUCUGAGAGCAGGAUUCUUCUUCUUUUCCUUUCUCUCUCUAGCUGGGGUACGCCAUUCAUUGGGUAUGUGCGGAUCGAGCUUGUCCGGAUUCGACGUUUCUCUGGAGGACCGUUUGUGCGCGUGGGUGCCUCGGUUGAGCCGUUGGAGGUCGAGCGAGCACGCGGGUGGAAUCCUAUCGACUUCUUGUUGACGUUGGACGAGCGUUUGAGGUGGGUUAGAAAUCAUCAGAUUUCCUU
rnacentral:lncRNA from 1 species